UUCGCCCUUAGAGUUUGAUCCUGGCUCAGGACGAACGCUGGCGGCGCGCCUAACACAUGCAAGUCGAACGGAGCUGAGAGGAGCUUGCUUUUCUUAGCUUAGUGGCGAACGGGUGAGUAACGCGUGAGUAACCUGCCCUGGAGUGGGGGACAACAGUUGGAAACGACUGCUAAUACCGCAUAAGCCCACGAUCCGGCAUCGGAUUGAGGGAAAAGGAUUUAUUCGCUUCAGGAUGGACUCGCGUCCAAUUAGCUAGUUGGUGAGGUAACGGCCCACCAAGGCGACGAUUGGUAGCCGGACUGAGAAGUUGAACGGCCACAUUGGGACUGAGACACGGCCCAGACUCCUACGGGAGGCAGCAGUGGGGGAUAUUGCACAAUGGGGGAAACCCUGAUGCAGCGACGCCGCGUGGAGGAAGAAGGUUUUCGGAUUGUAAACUCCUGUCGUUAGGGACGAUAAUGACGGUACCUAACAAGAAAGCACCGGCUAACUACGUGCCAGCAGCCGCGGUAAAACGUAGGGUGCAAGCGUUGUCCGGAAUUACUGGGUGUAAAGGGAGCGCAGGCGGACCGGCAAGUUGGAAGUGAAAACUAUGGGCUCAACCCAUAAAUUGCUUUCAAAACUGCUGGCCUUGAGUAGUGCAGAGGUAGGUGGAAUUCCCGGUGUAGCGGUGGAAUGCGUAGAUAUCGGGAGGAACACCAGUGGCGAAGGCGACCUACUGGGCACCAACUGACGCUGAGGCUCGAAAGCAUGGGUAGCAAACAGGAUUAGAUACCCUGGUAGUCCAUGCCGUAAACGAUGAUUACUAGGUGUUGGAGGAUUGACCCCUUCAGUGCCGCAGUUAACACAAUAAGUAAUCCACCUGGGGAGUACGACCGCAAGGUUGAAACUCAAAGGAAUUGACGGGGGCCCGCACAAGCAGUGGAGUACGUGGUUUAAUUCGAAGCAACGCGAAGAACCUUACCAGGUCUUGACAUCCGAUGCAUAGUGCAGAGAUGCAUGAAGUCCUUCGGGACAUCGAGACAGGUGGUGCAUGGUUGUCGUCAGCUCGUGUCGUGAGAUGUUGGGUUAAGUCCCGCAACGAGCGCAACCCUAUUGCUAGUUACUACGUAAGAGGACUCUGGCGAGACUGCCGUUGACAAAACGGAGGAAGGUGGGGAUGACGUCAAAUCAUCAUGCCCUUUAUGACCUGGGCUACACACGUACUACAAUGGCGUUUAACAAAGAGAAGCAAGACCGCGAGGUGGAGCAAAACUCAAAAACAACGUCUCAGUUCAGAUUGCAGGCUGCAACUCGCCUGCAUGAAGUCGGAAUUGCUAGUAAUCGCGGAUCAGCAUGCCGCGGUGAAUACGUUCCCGGGCCUUGCACUCACCGCCCGUCA
rnacentral:rRNA from 1 species